AUAUGGACUUCAACAUAUAGCACCUAUCUUUAUUGAUAUUAUCCAUCCACUCAUCAAGUAUAGCUCAUUGACUAUGGGUUGGACAUGUUGUUAAUAUUAGAAUAAUUUGAUAGAGAAUAUUGUUUAAUUUUCUAAAAUUAAGAAUAAUUUUUAAGUUUAUGAGCCAGUUUAUGUAAUCAGUUUUGGUUAAUCGAUUGAUAUCAAGGAUUCAAGCUAGAGGAUUGGAAGUUGACACAAUGAACAGUAGAGAGCAAAGAUUCUAAUUGGAUGUUUAUACUUAUUUUUAUAAUUUACUCUAGAAAUUUUUAAAAGCAAAAAGCGACUCCCACUAUUUUAUCAGAUCUCCCACACUCUCUGGAUGGAGAAACGAAAACCCUAAUGCGAUAAUUAAAUUUUUAGUGGAUGCUGCGGUCCCACCGAUGCCGUGCACCUCACCUAACUGUUAUUGGUAACAUGAAUAACAUUGAUACAUGGACAACUCUUUGCCC
rnacentral:lncRNA from 1 species